GUAUGCGUGGUGCAGCGGUUAACGCUGUUGUUUCAGAAUUGUUCGGCGCGGGUUCGAUCCCCCCGGUGGUCA